rnacentral:rRNA from 16 species
UUAAAUUGAAGAGUUUGAUCAUGGCUCAGAUUGAACGCUGGCGGCAGGCCUAACACAUGCAAGUCGAACGGUAACAGGAAGCAGCUUGCUGCUUUGCUGACGAGUGGCGGACGGGUGAGUAAUGUCUGGGAAACUGCCUG